GACGAACGCUGGCGGCGUGCUUAACACAUGCAAGUCGAACGAUGAAGCCCUUGGUGGAUUAGUGGCGAACGGGUGAGUAACACAGUGGGCAAUCUGCCCUUCACUCUGGGACAAGCCCUGGAAACGGGGUCUAAUACCGGAUAACACUCUGUCCCGCAUGGGACGGGGUUGAAAGCUCCGGCGGUGAAGGAUGAGCCCGCGGCCUAUCAGCUUGUUGGUGGGGUAAUGGCCUACCAAGGCGACGACGGGUAGCCGGCCUGAGAGGGCGACCGGCCACACUGGGACUGAGACACGGCCCAGACUCCUACGGGAGGCAGCAGUGGGGAAUAUUGCACAAUGGGCGAAAGCCUGAUGCAGCGACGCCGCGUGAGGGAUGACGGCCUUCGGGUUGUAAACCUCUUUCAGCAGGAAGAAGCGAAAGUGACGGUACCUGCAGAAGAAGCGCCGGCUAACUACGUGCCAGCAGCCGCGGUAAUACGUAGGGCGCAAGCGUUGUCCGGAAUUAUUGGGCGUAAAGAGCUCGUAGGCGGCUUGUCACGUCGGAUGUGAAAGCCCGGGGCUUAACCCCGGGUCUGCAUUCGAUACGGGCUAGCUAGAGUGUGGUAGGGGAGAUCGGAAUUCCUGACGCUGAGGAGCGAAAGCGUGGGGAGCGAACAGGAUUAGAUACCCUGGUAGUCCACGCCGUAAACGUUGGGAAGUAGGUGUUGGCGACAUUCCACGUCGUCGGUGCCGCAGCUAACGCAUUAAGUUCCCCGCCUGGGGAGUACGGCCGCAAGGCUAAAACUCAAAGGAAUUGAGGGGGGCCCGCACAAGCAGCGGAGCAUGUGGCUUAAUUCGACGCAACGCGAAGAACCUUACCAAGGCUUGACAUAUACCGGAAAGCAUCAGAGAUGGUGCCCCCC
rnacentral:rRNA from 1 species